AUCACUAUGAUGGAUCAAGUUAAAAUGGGAUGAAUUUCAAUAUACAAACUAUUAACAUCUUUACUCAUGUUAAUGUGGCAAUCUGAAGCUAGUAAAGAGUUCAACACCAAAUCGAUCAAACAUUUGGGAUAAAACCAUGAAUAUACCUAGCAACAAUGCCAGCAAUCAAUAUUUCCUUCUCUAUGAAGGUUUCAGUGAAUACAAGGUUAUGCCAUCAAUAAUUUACAUCGUGUCUGUUGCUAAUGUAUUUAGCAAUGUUUGAACACGCCAAAUUAGUGCUAUAAAACUGAUUUCCUUUUUUGUCUUUCUUUAUGUUAUGAUUUAGUGUGUGUUUUUUACUGAGUGAAUUUUGAAGUUGGAAUUAUAGAGGGUGGUUUUUUUCUUUCUUGCUGCCAAUACAGGUUCCACCUUAUUUAACUGUCCGUUCCCUUUGAUGGGUGUGUUGCUUGUUCUAGCUGUUAGAGGCUUUAAAUUCAAGAUGUGAUUCGUAUUGUUCACAUAUGUUGAGUGUUUAUUUCUCCCACAAUAGAUAGGUUAUAUAAAAUUAGUUUAAGCGUAGAGAGGCAUUGUCUUGGAAGAUGCUGUGAUAAUAUAGGAUAUGACAGUAUAAGGCUUGCAGUAAUAAUAGGAGUAAACUUGGAAGAAUUGACGGUGAAAGCUUACGUUGUAAUUUGUAAAUCUUCAGGAAGCCUAGGCUAUUAAUUUAUUCAUAACAAUUACUGUAGUUUGUAAUCCAAGAAUUAUAUAAGGCUCAAUAUUUGAGCACUGGGGAUGCAAAUUGGGCAAUUUGCCCUGCAUGUAAACUCAUCUAUACUACUUUUUGUUUAAUAACAUGUUUGAUUUUCCUUCAUAUCAUAUACUUUUUGUUUAGCAUUAUGGCGUCUACUUAAAAUGGGAUAAAAAAACAAAGAAGACAGCAGUUACGUUUAUAAUGCAUUUAUGGGAGAAAAUAGAAGCUGGGAGAAUCCUGCGGAAGAAACAAUGAUGCUCUUGAGAGAGCACAUUUCAACUAUUACGUGCCUUGGAAGGAAACAGAAUUACACACAACUUGGGGCAGAGCUGCUGUAGCACUUGAUGAACUUCUGGUCGUGCUGAUGGAGAAGGAUCAACACAGUGCAAAGCGAGCUUCAAUGUGUUUAGCAACUCAUCGCCAACUGUUGAAGAGUCUCUCAUUAAGUCCGCAUCAAAAACCUCAUUUG